rnacentral:piRNA from 1 species
UGCUAAAUAGUUGUCGGAGAUGGUCUUC